CCUACGGGUGACAGCAGUGAGGAAUAUUGGUCAAUGGGCGGAAGCCUGAACCAGCCAAGUAGCGUGCGGGAUGAAGGCCCUACGGGUCGUAAACCGCUUUUUCACGGGGAUAACACCCUCCCCUUGUGGAGGUCUGCAGGUACCGUGCGAAUAACGGCCGGUAAAUCCCGUCCCAGCAGCCGCGGUAAUACGGAAGGCCCGAGCGUUAUCCGGAUUCAUUGGGCUAAAGGGGAGCGUAGGUGGGCGUUCAAGUGAGCUGAAAAAUCGCGCGGCCCAACCGCGCCCCGCAGUUGAAACUGGACGCCUUGAGUGCGCAACAGGCAGGCGGAAUGCGUGGUGUAGCGGUGAAAUGCAUAGAUAUCACGAAGAACCCCGAUUGCGAAGGCAGCCUGCCGGGGUGCGACUGACGCUGAGGCUCGAAGGUGCGGGUAUCAAACAGGAUUAGAUACCCCGGUAGUC
rnacentral:rRNA from 1 species